GACAGAGGGUGCAAACGUUGUUCGGAAUUACUGGGCGUAAAGCGCGUGUAGGCGGCUUCGCAAGUCGGAUGUGAAAUCCCACGGCUCAACCGUGGAAGUGCAUUCGAAACUGCAAGGCUAGAGUCCUGGAGAGGAAGGUGGAAUGCUUGGUGUAGAGGUGAAAUUCGUAGAUAUCAAGCGGAACACCGGUGGCGAAGGCGGCCUUCUGGACAGUGACUGACGCUGAGACGCGAAAGCGUGGGGAGCAAACAGG
rnacentral:rRNA from 1 species